AUUCCAGCUCCAAUAGCGUAUAUUAAAGUUGUUGCAGUUAAAAGCUCGUAGUUGGAUUUCUGGUGAGUUCGUUUGGCCGGCCGUAAAGGUCUGUGCCGAAAUGUUAUUCGCCAUCCUUGGUGUAAUCUUGUCCGCCAUUAAGUUGUGUGGGCUUGAGGAUGCCAUCGUUUACUGUGAAAAAAUUAGAGUGUUCAAAGCAGGCUUAUGCCGUUGAAUACAAUAGCAUGGAAUAAUAAGAUAGGACUUUGGUGGUCUAUUUUGUUGGUUUGCACACCAAGGUAAUGAUUAAUAGGGACAGUUGGGGGUAUCCGUAUUUCGUAGUCAGAGGUGAAAUUCUUGGAUUUACGAAAGACGAACUACUGCGAAAGCAUUUACCAAGGAUGUUUUCAUUA
rnacentral:rRNA from 1 species